rnacentral:rRNA from 1 species
AGUGAACGCUGGCGGUAGGCCUAACACAUGCAAGUCGAACGGCAGCACAGUAAGAGCUUGCUCUUACGGGUGGCGAGUGGCGGACGGGUGAGGAAUACAUCGGAAUCUACUUUUUCGUGGGGGAUAACGUAGGGAAACUUACGCUAAUACCGCAUACGACCUACGGGUGAAAGCGGGGGAUCUUCGGACCUUGCGCGAUUGAAUGAGCCGAUGUCGGAUUAGCUAGUUGGCGGGGUAAAGGCCCACCAAGGCGACGAUCCGUAGCUGGUCUGAGAGGAUGAUCAGCCACACUGGAACUGAGACACGGUCCAGACUCCUACGGGAGGCAGCAGUGGGGAAUAUUGGACAAUGGGCGCAAGCCUGAUCCAGCCAUACCACGUGUGUGAAGAAGGCCUUCGGGUUGUAAAGCCCUUUUGUUGGGAAAGAAAAGCAGCAGGUUAAUACCCCGCUGUUCUGACGUUACCCAAAGAAUAAGCACCGGCUAACUUCGUG